CCUACGGGUGGCAGCAGUGAGGAAUAUUGGUCAAUGGCCGGAAGGCUGAACCAGCCAUGCCGCGUGAAGGUCAGUGCCCUAUGGGCGUUAAACUUCUUUUGUGCGGGAGCAAUAAUUGUCACGUGUGGCUAGACGAGAGUACCGUACGAAUAAGCAUCGGCUAACUCCGUGCCAGCAGACGCGGUAAUACGGGGGAUGCAAGCGUUAUCCGGAUUUAUUGGGGUUAAAGGGAGCGUAGAUGGGUUGUUAAGUCUGUUGUGAAAGUUUGCGGCUUAACCGUAAAAUUGCAAUUGAUACUGGCAGUCUUGAGUACAGGUGAGGUAGGCGGAAUUCGUGGUGUAGCGGUGAAAUGCGUAGAUAUCACGAAGAACCCCGAUUGCGAAGGCAGCUUACUAAACUGUGACUGACGUUGAGGCUCGAAAGUGUGGGUAGCAAACAGGAUUAGAUACCCUAGUAGUC
rnacentral:rRNA from 1 species